rnacentral:rRNA from 1 species
UGGGGAAUAUUGGACAAUGGGCGAAAGCCUGAUCCAGCCAUGCCGCAUGAGUGAAGAAGGCCUUUGGGUUGUAAAGCUCUUUUAGUGAGGAAGAUAAUGACGGUACUCACAGAAGAAGUCCUGGCUAACUCCGUGCCAGCAGCCGCGGUAAUACGGAGAGGGCUAGCGUUAUUCGGAAUUAUUGGGCGUAAAGGGCGCGUAGGCUGGUUAAUAAGUUAAAAGUGAAAUCCCGAGGCUUAACCUUGGAAUUGCUUUUAAAACUAUUAAUCUAGAGAUUGAAAGAGGAUAGAGGAAUUCCUGGUGUAGAGGUAAAAUUCGUAAAUAUUAGGAGGAACACCAGUGGCGAAGGCGUCUAUCUGGUUCAAAUCUGACGCUGAAGCGCGAAGGCGUGGGGAGCAAACA